rnacentral:lncRNA from 1 species
AAGAGAGCAUCGAUCAACCCUUACCGAAUAAGUAUGUCCUUCACCCUCACUUGCCACAAGGAAAAAUUACUCUUCCCAUCGAAUCGAUUGAUUUUCAUCUUGAUUGAGUCUGUCUUCUCCAUUUUCAAUCUUGAUCACUACCAUCGCAACCUACAUCCUGGUACCAUCUCGCUCUGAUACCACUUCUUGGGGAUGUCUAACUAGGAUACCACCUCCACAGAACUUUUUCGAUAUCACGCAUCGUAGUAGAAAGAAAAAAAAAUAAAAAAUAAUCAAAUAUGUGGAUCAGUCAAAAGUCUCGCCUCCACGGGGCAUGCAAGCUUCACUAUAAGAAAAAAAAAUUUCAAGAAUUCACACCUUCAACCCUCGUACAUCCAAUCUCUCCUUCACAAGAAGCUCUCUCUCAUAAAGGCUCUUUCUCUAGAAAAAUUCUCUGAAUCCCUGAAGUGACCACUAUCUACUGUCUGAUAAUCUACCUGAAGCACUCUGCCUCUGCUCUCUGCCUGCUCCUCUCAAUCUGCUGCUGCUUUGGAUCCUC